ACCGUUACAACCCAACCUCCCUGGGUUGUGUUGGGUUAGUGUUAUCAGCGAGUGGAUUAUGGCGUUUUUAAUUUUAAGUGAAUAUUUUCUUUUUCUUCCUCUGUGCAGGUGCUUCCUAAAACUCACUUCAUGCUUCCUGGUUUUUGAAAAACCACUCGCCAUGCACAAUAAUAGGGUCUUUGAGAAAUGACCUCUCUUAAGGCUACGUACACACAUGCCGCAGUUGGCUCGACAACUGUAUUUACAAACGGCACUCUCUGCGGUUGUUUGUUGUACACACUCACCUUUCAUUACUGAAGUGAGUGCACUUCCUGUUUAAACAAACUGAACUUCAUUCAUUACAUGCCGAUCGUGAGCUUUUGUGUGACAACAUGGAGGCUGUGUUUUUGUUUAUGCUUUAAGAAAAAAAUUACUGUAUGUAAUCGAUCGAGAGCUCAUCAAGCACAGCUCUGCUCUUUUCUGAUAAGCAAUGACAUUCCACUGAGCACCAGCUGCGGUUGUGUUAGUGCGGUUAUAACACACACACACACACACACACACACACACAGCUAGUGCGCAUUAACAAACCAAACUGAAUUAAUAACCACACUUGAUACUUGCUCUGAAAAGGAUUAACUAGUGCGGUUGUCGCUGCCCUUUGUAACCGAACUGUGUGUGUAUGCAAACCGUAUUAAGAGCAAAAGCUGAACUCACAACCGCAUUUAGCCUGUGUGUGUGCGUAGCCUUUUUAAUUCAGUUUGGUUACUUAAUACGCAGCAACUGUAUGUGUGUGCAUUAAAACUACAGUUUUUUUUUACAAUACACUUUUUUAUUUAAUCAAAGUACAGUUGUAUAAUAUUCUGUUGUAAGAAAAAAAAAAAUUAUUUUUGGUUUUGCAACUUAAAUAAAACAAUAUGGGACAAUUUGUGUCCCCAAACACCACAGUGCGACCGCAACUAGUUUUUCCACCGAUACCGAACGUCUCAUUUGUGUGUUUUGGCACUCCAGGAAAUGUCUCAGUAAAUGACAAAGAUGCAUACGACUCCUUAGACAUGGUCAGAAGUUUCCGUAAUGAAAGACUGUGUGUGUACAACAAACAACCGCAGAGAGUGCAGUUUGUUAAUACAGUUUGUUAAUACAUUUUCUACAAUAUAUAUAUUGUAGAAAAUAGAAAUGCCGGUGCUAAAAAGAUGCCUCAAUCAAUUCCAACACACGAGGUGCACCACUGAGGAAUGAAGACGACAACUCUCACUUAAUGAAAAACUUAUAUCCCAAAGUGUCGCUCAAUUAUUCAUAUUUUAUUAAGAACAAGGUAAAAAUAAAAACUAAAUAAAGCUUAGGUGUUUCGACAUAUUGUCUUCAGAGCAUGUUGUUCUAGUUGAAUUUCCUUGCUGCUGUACAUGUUAGCAACUAUUAGGACAAAUAAAAAAAAAAUGUUUUAUGUUGUAGUGGCUUUGACCUCGGCCCUGCAUCUAUGCUAAUUUAAAAAGCCAUUCCAGUCUCCUUGUUUAAAACUGACCCAACUGUGUACACCACUCUUCUUCCAUCAUUACUGAAAAACUAGGGUAAUCCCCUCCUGCUGGUAAAACACAAGGAGUCCAGUAAAAUAUCAAAUGUCAGUCUCUAGUUGGUUCCUAGAAAACCCAGCUGUCCACUCGUCACAACGUCCACUGUCCUCUGAGCCCGAACCGCCAGUGGACCUCACUGCAACGACGCCCUGAACCUCUGAUGGAUAUGGAGACGGAGAUCCCGGGGAACCUGAGAGGGGGAGGGGGCAAAGAAUGGAGGCCACCAGGAACGUUUACACAGCUGUUGCACCCUGGAUUGGACCACUGGACCUCAACCCUCGACGUUGGACAGAUCUCCUUCUGUCUGGUAUUGAUGGCUGAAGUGUAAUGCUGGCUCCAGGGAUCAGCUUAUUUGCCUUCCUGGCGCAUCAGCACACACAAAGGCUGCGAUGCUGGCUCUGGGGAUCAACCACAGUGCAGUCUCCCCAGCGCAUCAGCAUGACAACCGUCUGGAUUGAGCGAAGUAGGGUAUAUCUCUGGGGUCUUCAAGUGGGCACCUUCCAUCCUCUGUGUUUCGUCGACUAGCCCACAACACCUCAAGAGGGCUCGACGGUGAUUCUGGCGUCCCAGCAUCACCCCACUCUGUCCCCCACUCAACUCAGCCCAGCUUACUUACCUGUACAUCAGCGUUUCUUUCUUUCUAUUGUGCUUGAGAUCCCCAGCCAGAAUCUUUCCAUCUCAACCACAGCCAGUUGCUGCUCCUCUCUGCUGCUUCAGAUAAGUUCUUCACUGUGCGACGCAACUCUUGGCCACUGAAUCCGACAUCUCUGAGAAACCGGGUUGUAGAGUGUGUCACAAAUCCUCGACAACCCACCUCCACUGGGUAAACCCGGACUCUCCAUCCUAGCUGUUCUGCUUCAGUGGCUAGUUGAGCAUACCGCAGUUUCUUCCUCUCAUACGUCUCAUCUACAGCAUCCUCCCAUGGCACUGUUAACUCUACCAGGUGAACAAGGCGUGCUGAUCUAGACCACAAAACAAUAUCUGGUCGAAGGUUAGUGGUGGCAAUCUCAGGUGGAAAAAUAAGCCGUUGACCAACAUCUGUCAGCAUUUUCCAGGCUCUAGCAGCUUCCAGUUGUCCUGGGCGAGGGUUGGUUUUAACACUUUUUCUUGGUGGUUGCUCUCCUGGGCAGAGGAAUGUUGUCUUUUGUGUGUAAUGUUUUGAUGGAACAGGUGGCAACUUAUUGGUCAUGUUACGCUUGUCUUCCAAGGCCAAACAUCGCAGCACCUGGUUAUGGCGCCAAGUGAACCGUCCUUGGCUAAGAGCCACCUUACAUCCUGUCAAAAUGUGCCUUAAUGUUGCAGGUGAUGAACACAAAGGACAUGAGGGAUCCUCUCCUACCCAGAGGUUUAGGUUCUGUGGUGAUGGGAGAACAUCAUAUGUUGACCUGAUGAGGAAACUGAUCCUGUUCUCGCAGAGGAUUUUGAUGAGUUCAUAAUGUGGGUGCAUUAUCAGCUUGAAAGUAACUAUUGCCUUAAGCAUUGUUGGGUAAACUUGAUCUCAAACAAUGCUUAAAUAAGCUUCAGCAUCCGUUCAGCCUUUCAAGGUAAUCAAGGGAAGCCAACGUAUACCAGAAGAACAUUCCCCACACCAGGGCGAUGUUAAAAUCGGGUUGGUUAGACCGGUCCUAAUAAAGUGACCGUACAGCGUAUAUGUUGCUGUGACAGAAAGACAAUGAUUCUUGGUGGUAAAUCUCCCUCCCGACCUGUGAGGGUGCUAAGUAACGGGAACAGAGUACCCUGGACUACUUGGCCUGACACUUCCUUCCGAGGGUUAAAAGGAAGUUGGUCAUUUAGAAAAGGGGCGGAGCUUCGGUACACUAACUCAUCGACCCGGAAGGGAAAUGAUGUGGCAGCCGCGGAUUGGAGGAGGGGUCAUGAGUGACGGUUUAAAUAGGGGUUUAAGCGACGUAAUCUGUCCCUUCGUUUUGGUUUAUGGAAAAUAACCUGGAAGGACCUGUAUUUUGUGUAUCUGUAUCGUGAGUGUUUGUUGCUUUUCAUUAUUAGACAGCUAACACGUUCCGGAGCUGUCACCAGAGGACAGCACAAUCCCAGAACAGCACUGCAGUUGUAUCAGAAAUAACUGUAUUUGCACCACUAGCACAAAUUCACUCACUAACGGACUUGUUAUGUGUUUUGUGUGGGUGUAUAAUAAAAACAGGACUAUUAUUUUGGGACAAACCCGGGGAUUACAAAUUAAUUAAUAAUCACUGCUGUAUUACUUAACAUCAUUUAUUGUUUACUGUUUGUUUUGCAGUCAGGCACUGGACAUAAAAAUAAAAAAAACAAACAUAAAAAUCAUUAAACAAACUUUGCA